UACGAGAGGCCCAAACGUUAUUCGGAAUUACUGGGCGUAAAGCGUGCGCAGGCGGCUUUGCAAGACAGAUGUGAAAUCCCCGGGCUUAACCUGGGAACUGCAUUUGUGACUGCAUGGCUGGAGUGCGGCAGAGGGGGAUGGAAUUCCGCGUGUAGCAGUGAAAUGCGUAGAUAUGCGGAGGAACACCGAUGGCGAAGGCAAUCCCCUGGGCCUGCACUGACGCUCAUGCACGAAAGCGUGGGGAGCAAACAGG
rnacentral:rRNA from 1 species